rnacentral:lncRNA from 8 species
AUGCAAAACAUAUUACAUCACUCUCCUUUCAUGAAUCCUUCUCUCAUUUGUCUAUGUCUGUUAUUUUCCUUCAGAGCUUUACUGGACAAUGAAAGUCUGAUGGGGGAUUUCUCUUCAACAAAUCAGCUAAGGAGUAGCUACACAUCUGAUGGAGUGCCCAGCUCUCGAGGGGUUAAGCAAAGCUUCCAGACACAGCUGGCUACCAGUCACAUGAUCAGUCCCAUCUCUACCAUCCAUAGAGCAAGCCCACGAUCCAAUGUAACAAUGAUGUCCGCAUCACCAAUCUGGACUCAAAACCGGGUAACCCUGAACGAAACACCUGAGAGUUGUCGAAAGACAGAGGAAGAGCAUGUUGACUUUGACUUAGGGUCCAACCGGCAGGUAAGUUGGUCAACGCCUUACCCCAGAGUACCACAGAAUGGAAUUUCAGUCGACCACUUCAGACCCCAGGAUGUCCAUGAAGAAGUCAACUAUGCUGAGCCUCUCUCACCUCCCACUGAAGAGGCAGGAGCUGAUGUUGUAUCUUGGCUUGGAUCUGACCAUAAGGAACAAUCCAUGUGGGAUUUAGAAAAGGAGGAAGAGGAUCAGAACAUAGUCAGAACCUGGGUUGCUGAAGACAAACCAGUUCUGGAAUCUGCCAUGAGUCACCAGGUUGAGACCAGCUUCAGUAUGCCAACUGUGUUCAGCACUGAUGCUCAAGAGCUCUACAGCCCUUCAGUGAGCUAUGAGAGAGCAGGUUCAGUGACAGGGGCACAUUCUGCUUUCUCAGCGAAUGAUGAUAAUGAUGUACCUUAUGAAAUGUCUUCUGAAAAAGAGGAACCUCUACUAGAUCUGCCUUACGGUCCCAUGAAUGCAUUGGAGGAAAGAGAUCUUGAAACAGCAAGGAAAGAUGCUGAAUGGGUGGGAAAAGAAGGCUUGGAGUCUGAAACUAAAUCAGUGCUAGAACAUGCAUUUGAGACCUUCACAAGCAGUCAAGCUUUCGAGUAUGGGGCGGGGAAAAGUUACAACAAGCCAAUAGAGUUCAACCAAGAGGACAAUACGUCAUAUGCAUCUAUUCAAGCCUCCCAAGGUUCAGAAGAUGCAUUUCACCAUGUUAAAAGAGUGGAGGAAGAUGUUAUUAAUCUCACAAAAGAGGAUGAUGAAAAUGAUAGGUCUAACAAAGAUGACGAGCAAUUGGAAGAUGAAUUGCGCCCCUAUGGGUAUGGUAAGGAUGAUUGUGAAAGAUUGGCAGGGUUCAAAAUGGAAAAUUGUGUGACAGAAAGAAUCGAUAAGUUCAACCGAGAGGCGAUUAUGUCAUAUGAAUCUGCUCAAGCUUCUCACUGGUCAGAAGAAGUAUUUCACCAUGUUGAAAGACUGGAGGAAGGUGAUAUAAAUAUCACAAAAGGGGAUGAUGAACAUGAUAUGUCUAAUAAACGUGAGGAACAAUAUGCAUUGCACCCCAAUGGGGAUGUAAAUGAUGAAUGGGAUAGAGUGGGAGGAUACAAUGAAGAGAAUGGAAUUAGAGAAAGAAUGGAUGAUUGGAAAGAAGGAAAGGAUCAUAUGAAAGAGGAAGAGAUGUGUAAUAACAGAGAAACCCAACCCAAUCGGUCUGAUCAAGAGCAUAUACCUUCAAAUGUAGAGAAACUGAAUCAAUUCGAGCAAGAGCAUAUACCUUUAGGCAGAGAGAAACUGAAUAUAUCCGACAAUGACAAAGAGGAUCAUGAUGAGGAAAACUACUGUCAAAAUACUUCUGUUUCAUGGAGGGCUGAGCUAGAAGGUGACAGCUACGCUCAGGACAACACACUGGCCGACACACACCCCCUGAUCCGUUACAAGAGUGACGAGACGGAUGCCAACACUCAGGCUUCACACAUGGGCGAAAGUGACUCCAGUGAUGGUGAAGAGGACAGGGAGGUUUGCCAGACAGGAACAGGCACCUGGGGCGAAGGCAAGUCCAAACAGUUUGACACCAUGGAGGAUCUGUAUGAAGAGUCAGAAGGGGAUGUCAUAGAUCAGGAAAGUAACAUGGGCUCUACUCACCAAGAGGACAUGGAUGCUAGCCAAACAAAGGAGCAUGCUACACAGGAGAAUGAUGAGGAGAAUGCUGUAGAUCAGUUGAUUCAGAAGACAGAAGAGGAGCAAUCCUAUGAGGAACUUACAGAACCUGGAGAGUACUCCAUGAUGUGCUCUGAUGAGGACUAUAAUGAAGAAAGAAUUGAUAGAUUGGUGGAGCAAGAGUUAGAGAAUUUAUCUAUAUCCAGUUACAGUGAACACUUUAAUGGGCAGAUGAUUGAGAGCGAGUCAGUACUGAGUCUUCAAAUUGAGUCUCACACUGAACUUUCCCAGACACAAGACAUAUUAUACAGUGAGGAGGUAGACCAGAUACACUCAGUGAGACUGAAUCAAUCUGAGCAAGAGCAUACGACGUCAGGCGGCGAGAAACUGAAUCAAUCCGAGCAAGAUUAUUUAAAUUCAGGCAGAGAGAAACUAAAUCAAUCUGAACAAGAGUAUAUACCCUCAGACGGAGAGAAACUGAAUCAAUCCGAGCCAGAGUAUAUAACUUCAGGAGGAGAGAAAAUGUGUCAAUCCGAGCAAGACCAUAUACCCUCAGACGAAGAGAAACUGAAUCAAUCCAAGCAAGAGAAUAUACCUUUAAGCGGAGAGAAACUGAAUCAAUCUGAACAAGAGUAUUUACCCUCAGAUGGAGAGAAAAUGAAUCAAUCCGAGCCAGAGUAUAUACCCUCAGGCAGAGAGAAACUGAAUCAAUCUGAGCAAGUGCAUAUACCUUCAAACGGAAAGAUACUGAAUCCGUCUGAACAAGAGUAUAUACCCUCAGGCGGAGAGAAACUGAAUCUAUAUGAGCAAGAACAUAUACCCUCAGACGGAGAGAAACUGAAUCUCACCGAGCAAGAUAAUAUACCUUUAGGUGGAGAAAAACUAAUUCAAUCUGAACAAGAGCAUAUACCUUUAGGCAGAGAGAAACUGAAUCAAUCUGAGCCAGAGUAUAUACCCUCAGGCAGAGAGAACAUAAAUCAAUCUGAGCAAGAACAUAUACCCUCAGAUGGAGAGAAACUGAAUCACACUGAGCAAGAGAAUAUACCCUUAGGUGGAGAGAAACUGAAUCAAUCUGAACAAGAGUAUAUAACUUCAGGCGGAGAGAAACCGAAUUCAUAUGCACAAGAAAAUAUACCCUCAGACGGAGAGAAAAUGAAUCAAUCCGAGCAAGAGAAUAUACCUUCAGACAGAGAGAAACUGAAUCAAUCUGAAGAUCAGUACAUUCCUUCAGGUGGAGAGAAACUGAAUCAGUAUGAGCAAGAGCAUAUACCUUUAGGUGGAGAGAAACUGAAUCAGUCUGAGCAAGAGCAUAUACCUUUAGGUGGAGAGAAACUGAAUCAGUCUGAGCAAGAGCAUAUACCUUUAGGUGGAGAGAAACUGAAUCAGUAUGAGCAAGAGCAUAUACCUUUAGGUGGAGAGAAACUGAAUCAGUCUGAGCAAGAACAUAUACCCUCAGACAACGAGAAAAUGAAUCAAUCUGAGUCAGAGUAUAUACCCUCAGGUGAAGAGAAACUGAAUCAAUCUGAGCAAGACCAUAUACCCUCAGACGACGAGAAAAUGAAUCCAUCUGAGUCAGAGUAUAUACCCUCAGGUGAAGAGAAACUGAAUCAAUCUGAGCAAGACCAUAUACCCUCAGACGACGAGAAAAUGAAUCCAUCUGAUCCAGAGUAUAUACCUUCAGGUGGAGAGGAACUGAAUCAAUCUGAGCCAGAGCAUAUACCCUCAGGUGGAGAGAAACUGAAUCAAUCUGAGCCAGAGUGGAUUUCCUCAGAGGUUAUGUAUUCAAUGCACUCUAGGAUCCGAUCGACACCUGAACACACAUCUCUUAGAGAAAGUUCAGUAGAAAUAUCCAAAGCAGAAUAUUUGGCUCAAGGUAAAGUCUUCAGUGGGGAACUGAGAACUGAAGCUGUACCAGACCAAAUAGAAGGAGAGGAUGACCAGAACCUUUCUAUGCUGACUCAUGCAGACUUUACUGAAAGCCAUUCUAUCCACAGCAGUUUAAACAGCAGGCCUGAGAGUCAAACCAACAUGAACAACUCGGAUAUAGAAGAGUCCAACAGCACAGAUGAUGAGUCUCCAAAUGCAAGCCAGUAUUUGCAACCUGUCAACGACGCAAAUCUAACUGCAGAUUUGUUAGAUGUGGCGGUCUCUCACUAUGAGGAUUGCAAUGCUCUUAUAGAACAUUCUGCAGAGGAGGUCACUAGCUAUCAGGCAAGUCAUGAAUGUCUUCAGACAGACAAAUGGGAAGUCUUCGAAAGUCCAAACAAACACCUGGAAUCUGGAGAUCCUUUUACAGGUCACAAGAGAGACUCAGAGAGAUCAUCCAAAACUGACAGCAAAGGCCGGGACCUCCACAGCUUCCUCAGCUCUGGUGUACACAGCAACUUCUGGGGUUCCAAUCUGGAGACAGGAGCCCCCUAUCAACCGGAUGAGCCAUAUGACCAUGUGACCGAGCUACCCAACCAGAACCUAGCCUUGGCUGAUAACCUAUCCUGGGUGGAUUUGGAAUCCACAGGCGGCCAAUUGGAACACAAAGAUGGACAGUGA